CGAGAAAGUCGGCCUGUUGAUUUCCCGUUUUUUCGGGAGGUAGGAAAGUCCGGACACCGUAGAGCAGCAAAGCGGAUAACAUCCGUCACCCGCGAGGGUAGGACCAGUGCAACAGAAAGGAUGUACAGUUCGGCUGUAGUGAAAUCAGGUAAACUCUUUGUGGUGCAAUGAUAAGUAUAUCGGUUCUUUUCAGCAAUGAAAAUAGGAGUUACUCGCUCUGAAAGCCGAGGGGUAAUCAGCUCAAGUUUUGCAGCAAUGUAAGACGUAGAUAAAUAACAGGCAUCCCGUUCCUGUAACGGGAUACAAAAUCCGGCUUAUAGAUUUUCUCGUGAU
rnacentral:RNase_P_RNA from 1 species